rnacentral:rRNA from 1 species
AACGCUAGCUACAGGCUUAACACAUGCAAGUCGAGGGGCAGCACGGGGGUAGCAAUACUCCGGGUGGCGACCGGCGCACGGGUGCGUAACGCGUAUCCAACCUUCCCAUUACUCUUGGAUAGCCUUCCGAAAGGGAGAUUAAUACAGGAUGGUAUCUGAAUUCCGCAUGUUAAUCAGAUUAAAGAUUUAUCGGUAAUGGAUGGGGAUGCGUGACAUUAGGUAGAUGGCGGGGUAACGGCCCACCAUGCCUACGAUGUCUAGGGGUUCUGAGAGGAAGGUCCCCCACACUGGAACUGAGACACGGUCCAGACUCCUACGGGAGGCAGCAGUGAGGAAUAUUGGUCAAUGGUCGGAAGACUGAACCAGCCAAGUAGCGUGAAGGAUGAAGGUUCUAUGGAUUGUAAACUUCUUUUAUACGGGAAUAAAACACGCUACGUGUGGCGUCUUGUAUGUACCGUAUGAAUAAGCAUCGGCUAACUCCGUGCCAGCAGCCGCGGUAAUACGGAGGAUGCGAGCGUUAUCCGGAUUUAUUGGGUUUAAAGGGAGCGUAGACGGGAGAUUAAGUCAGCUGUGAAAGUUUGGGGCUCAACCUUAAAAUUGCAGUUGAUACUGGUUUUCUUGAGUGCGGUUGAGGUGUGUGGAAUUCGUGGUGUAGCGGUGAAAUGCUUAGAUAUCACGAAGAACUCCGAUUGCGAAGGCAGCACACUAAGCCGCAACUGACGUUGAUGCUCGAAAGUGUGGGUAUCAAACAGGAUUAGAUACCCUGGUAGUCCACACGGUAAACGAUGAAUACUCGCUGUUGGCGAUAUAUGGUCAGCGGCCAAGCGAAAGCAUUAAGUAUUCCACCUGGGGAGUACGCCGGCAACGGUGAAACUCAAAGGAAUUGACGGGGGCCCGCACAAGCGGAGGAACAUGUGGUUUAAUUCGAUGAUACGCGAGGAACCUUACCCGGGCUUGAAUUGCUGAGGAAAGAUCCAGAGAUGGUGAUGCCCUUCGGGGCCUCAGUGAAGGUGCUGCAUGGUUGUCGUCAGCUCGUGCCGUAAGGUGUCGGCUUAAGUGC